ensembl:lncRNA
GCGAUCUUGGAGUUUCAUUGUUUUGCUGCUCCUUCUUUCGAUUGUAUAAAUAGGAGCAGUGUGGGCCUUCCUAAGGAGGAAGAAGAGUGCAGGGACACAUUAACUUUAAAACAUCAGUUUUAUCCUGAUACUAAAACAGUGAAAGACCUGGAAAGAAGAGAGAGCUACGGACCAAUCUCCUUCAUGAACAUAGAUGCAAAAAUUUUGAACAAAAUGUCAGCUUCAUUGGAUGAUUUGGAUGUGUAGUGGUGUUUUUUGAGAAAGAACGCUAUCCUUCCAGCCUCGCGUUUCCAGUCAUAAGUUCUCCUUGGCCCUGUUGAAGCACGUCCUGGAGGAAGCAUUGCAAGCUGAGGGGGGAGAGAUUCCAAAGGCUUCAGAGGAGACCCAGGGAGGGCAAGCCCUGGGCCUCACGUCUGGGACCUUAUCAUAGAGUGGUCUCAUCAGAGGAUGUGAGAGCCGGAAGUGACCUUGAGAACUUCUGCUUCUACUGUCUCAAUUUCAGAGAACAAAUUGAGCUUAGAGAAAACCUAUCUGGUGCUAGAACUGGGAUUUGAACUGAGAAACUGUCCCCAGUCUUGGGAAAACAUUUAUGUUAUUCAAAAUCACCUGAUAUGUUCUCAUUAGUUAUUGCUAAGGUAUUCUUAUAAUAAAAGUGAUAUUGUGGAUGCAUGUAAAUGCAUAAAAAUGAGCAGCAGCAGCAGCAGCAUCACUUUUCACGGAGUAUUUGAAAACAAAACUCUGGCAUCCGCCCCAGAUAAAAGACUCGAAUAAUUUUCUAGAAGCCUGAGGACCAGAUUCUAGAUCAAACUUCUAAACUGGCUUGAAUCCUAGUCCAGUUUCUGGCCUCCAACCUUCCUGGUGGGAAAUGAUUAUUGACCCUCCCCACGAGGGUGUGUGGACAGAGCGUAGAUUUUGCCCCUCCUUUGGAUGUUGCAUGGAGAAUUGGGGCCAACACUCUUCUUUGCAAGCAAGAGGCCAUAAUGGGAAGACAGAAUCAGAAAGCCUGAAUAUUUGGAUUUCCCCAGUGCCCCUUCUGUAAGCAACCCUCCCUGCCUGUGUGGUCAGCAGGUCCUUGGGGCAGAACACUACCAAGCGUCGUGACAGAGCUCUUGUCAGCAGCGGUGCCAGCUCCCAGGAGCUAAUCCAGUUAGUGGGGUCCCCUCUUUGUUCCUCAUGACAGGGCCUUCCAGGGGCUGCUCCAUUGGCCAACCACAGUUCCUGAGGAGGGACUUUCUUCCAGAGUCUUCCAAGUUCCAAACUCCAGCUCCUUCAGUAACAAGAUAGUUCUCUAUUAUUCUUUCUAAAGGCGCCCCACAGCGCAGUUCCUGCUUUGUUGCAGUGUUUUCUGACCUGUGGGCUUCAUAUUCCUAAGAAGCCAUUGAAUUACUGCAAGAACAUAUGAAUCACUGUUACACCAAGUAUGUCUGUAACCUGAAUAAACAAUGUUAAUGACGAGUUAUUGUGCUAUAUAUUCUGCACUGUGCCAAGCCCAUUGCAUGCAUUAUCUCAUUUAAUCCUCACAAAAAUGCUGUGAGGUAAGCAGAACGAUAACCCCAUCUUACAGGUGAGCAAACAGCCUCAGAGAGGUUAAAUAAGUUGCUCAAGAUCAGGAAGCUAGCAAAUGGGUAAACUGUGUUCAGUCCAGCUAAUGCAAUCUCAAAGUCUACAGUCUUAACCAUGCUAUGUCUCUUACAAAUGUG